CAUCUCUGAAUCCAGUGCAUUUAACCGAGGAAAUCUUACGCAUUUUACCAAAGAUUUUCAUGCACUAGAGGCUUCAUGAGUAAUUGCCAAUUUUCGGAAUCCCGUCGAAAGAGCGGGAU
rnacentral:snRNA from 1 species